UCUGUCACCUCUCCUCUUUAGAAACAGCUGAGUAUGUUGGUUUACGACAUCUACAGGUGUGCAGUCCUGUGUCUUAACAAAGGUGGCGCCGCCAACCGUGAUCACGUGUUAGUACCACGUUUAAGUGUCGUCCAUGAAACUGAUACAUCACUGUUUUGUUUUGGAAAAGUUUUCAGUAAAGACGGAAUCGUUUCAGGAAAUAUCUGCGUAAACACAAAACCACUGACUAAAAAUGAUGCAGUGCACAUGCCAAGCUGGUAGGUGGCGCUGUCAGACUAAGAUGGAGGAAGAGAACGGAGCAUGAGUAUAGAGGUUGUUUUAGCCGGACUCGCACAGACGCCUGAAGAGAGUUCCAAAAAAGAUCAGGAUAGGAGUCCACACAGACAGGAAACAGUUUUCACAUACGGAGUUAUGGGGACCUUUUUUUAGUAAGUAUGAUUGACAGUCACAUGAAACGUGUUUCCGUGUGGACGAAAUGUCGAUACGCCAAAAACUGUUGUCCGAUUACUCCCAAACUUCGUACAACCACACGAAACAACCACGAACUCUCCCUUUAAAAAUGAACCUGCAGGGCUCCUGUAGUUUACUGAACACCGGUCGUCAGGAGGUUAUCUGGACUGAUGAGAAGGUCGUUUGUGAAAGAAGAAGACGGAGAAAAAAGGUCAGAGUGAAAAUCAAAGAUCUGGACACAAGAACUGAGACCCCAAUGAAGAGACCGCAGCAGGUCCCCCUUUAAAGAAAAAACUGUUUGGGUCACAAAACCAUGAAGUUAUAAAACAGACACUGAAGGGUACCUCGAAACGGAAGUCGAGAGAGUUUCGCCAUCCGCAGACCUCUGGAAACGACCAUGGUUACGGUAAUUUCAUAUCGACAUAUCGAUAAAUAUCACGAUAUAUCACGACUUUGUGAGAACAUGAACUCGACAUCAUUUACAGUCCACAGGUGCUAUGGUUGGGUGGAGCUGCUGUCUGCUACGACGCUGCAGUUGGUUGAUACUUGGUUCUAAUUCAGAACAUGAUUGGUUCAGACCUGGAGAAACUCCCCUUUUCAUUGGCUGUUCGUAUAGUCGACCAAAACAUGUCAGAGUGACGACUAUUGAAAAGGAUAUUGAUCAUGUUUUAUAUCAAUAUUGAGGGAAAUUGAUUUUUGAUAGAUAUCGUGAUCGUUUUAUCGCCCAGCCCUAACCAUGAUUGUGUCGGACUUCAUCAGCGUAACUUUGAAUAAUAACUUUAGUCGUUACUGAAACCUUUAAUUUAGUUACAUUUCUCUUUUUCAUAUAAACUUCACAUCAGCUACUCUAACUGAGAAAGAAGAACCAUCCCCGCCCUGAUCCCACCUGCUGAGACGGAUCACAGACAACUUGAGCGCGUUAAAUGACCGUCAUGUUUUUGAAGUGAUCCGUAGAUCUUUGAGGAUAACGUGUGUUUGGGUUAGACCUUCUCCAGGACUUGGAUCCUGGAGACCCAUUAGAGGUCUGUGAGGAAAUUCCAGUUUAUGCCGACUUUGGCGCCCCCUGUGGACAAAGCAGUCUUUGCUUCCUUUGGCUGUUUCUGCUGUUUCCUGAAACAACAAAAGGAUAAAAUAACGUGUAAAAGUAUAAAAGUUUAUUUUGUUCUCACACCAGUUUGGAAAACCUGCAGAGUUCGCCUGGCGUGACUCCCCUCCACCCGCGGCCCCCGGUGAGGCCCUGCAGAUCCACAUCCUCCUCAAUGGACUCACUCAAUUAACGGGCCAUGAAGCCCUCGACCCUUCCCGACCCCGCAGACCCCUGAGAGUCACGCACCGCAGAGGCACGCUCGUGGUGGAGACGGGUGGUUCAGAGGAGCGGGCGGGCGGGUCUCUGGGGGUGAGGGUGUGAGGGGGGGGUCGGUCAGUGGUCUUUUGUUGCCGCGGUGUCCAGCCUGCCCCCCUCCACCCCUGGGGUCUUUCAUAAGGAGUGUGUAAUAACUGCCUUUGUUGGUUUUUCCUCUUGUAAUGGGUCCGGUGGGAGGCCUUGUUAGCGCGGGGUGCGGAGCCAGGGGACCUCGCAGGAACUCCGGGAUUAGAGGCCGCCCCCGACCUGCCCCUAAACGUGAUCCUCCUCUGUAACAAUGGUCAUUCAGACGGCCGGUGAAUAUGAUUCUUUAGAUCCUCCUAAUUGCAGAAGCUUUCAGUUCCAGUGAAGGUCUCGGAUUUGGAGUUUGCUUCGUCAUCUCAGGCAGAAUUAAAGGCCCAGUCUGCGGUUUGAGGAAGGAUAAAGAGAAGAGCGAACGACAGAGGGACACGCCGAUGAUGUAAUGACCUGAAAGAGUUCGACUUACAGAGAGACUCCAGGAACAAAGCUGGAGGAAAGCUGCUGAUUAAGGAAGAAGAAGAAGAAGAAGAAGAAGAAGAAGAAGAAGAAGAAGAAGAAGAAGAAGACGUGGUCGUUCUUUGUCCUAAAACUUAAUCUAAGAAACACGGUAACAAACUUCUCAGUAAAAAUAAAGACUGUUAAUCCCUGAAACUAUGACCAGAUUAAGGUGUCAAAUUACCGGGUGCUUUUUAACAUCACUUGUAGUUAACCCUCUGCAGCAUCUCAACAAUGAGUGGAUCUGGAUCAGGGUUGUGGCCUCGGUCUGGUUUUAUGGCAGAGGUUGGAGAGUCUGGUGAUUACCGAGGGUCCGCACCUGUCUGCACUUCACACACCUGACCCACGCCCACCUGAGAAAAAGGAAAAGAGGGAAAGAAGGGGGGAAGGGAGAGGCUGCAGCUCUGGAUUAACGCGCAAAACAACACGACUUUGAGACGCGACGCAAUCAAAGAAAUUCUGCAGUAAAUUAAAUGUUUUGUACACGAAGUGUGUAAGAUGUUGCAAAUAUAUAAGCCUGUAGAGUCGCCCCCCGGUGGCCAUCAGAUGCAAUGCAAGUUUUAGACACUUCAACAGCGUCUUUUUAAAUGGAUCGAUCACGGCCUACACUGAGGUUCCAAAUCCUGUUACCAUUAAACUAAGCUGUAGCUAACUGAAGCUCUUUAAACGCUCUUUAACCUGACGCUGCUUUUAUUUCUCCUGAAGAGGAUAAACUUCACAUUUUCUUCCUGUUUUUGUGAAGUUUUUUUUUUCUCUUUUAACAUGUAAAACCACCUUCAUCUAACACCACGUGUGGUUUCUUCCUGGUGCCAUCCACAUCCUUGACAUGUCGGGGGGGUUCAGUCCACGCAGGUCGCACUCUGCUUUCUUUCACACGCUGGAUUUGUGGACCACAAGCGAGCAGUGAAAGAGGAGCGCAGAUUUGAGGGGCCCGAAAUGAACACUGCCUCUAUACUUUUGUUGAUUUGGCAUUCACACGGCUCGCCAUUUUUCAGGGAGGAAAUUCAAGUGAAGCACUCGCGAGCACUCGUGGAGCACUGAAGGCAAUUUUCCCCCUCAGUCAAGUGGCUAAAACCCUCUCCAUCUGAACAACUUCCUGCAUUUAGCCAGCACCCCCACUGACACCCUGCUCCCAUCAUCCCCCGGCUUAGCUGGCAUCAGUCACCACCUCUCAGCGGGCCGCUGCUCCUCGCAGAAGAGCGAGGAGGGGGCCGAGACCACCUCUCUGAUCAUGGAUUCACUCUGGAGAUAAAUGAAGUCGAAGCUCUGGUGUUUGCUCUUUCCCUCUUUCUCUAACGUUUCAAUAUUUCUCUGUUUUUGAAGGAGCUCCCAGUUGAUUGACGGAGACUUUUAGGAAACGAAACUCUAACGAGUGUUGAAUUAACUCUGAUGAGCGCGCUCUUACAGAUGCAGCAGCUGAGUGUUGAUAUUUAAACAUCUGAGUGUCAUUUACAGAAGAGAAAACAGAAGCACAGAGUGAUGAGGCGACAAGACGAUCUCACUGUCCUCUGGAGAAGAAGAAGAAGAAGAAGAAGAAGAAGAAGAAGAAGAAGAAGAAGAAGAAGAGUUUAUCUUUAGGAAGGACAGAAAGUUCGGCACUGUUUCUGACUUUGCAUUUUUUAAAACUGAAACAAGAGUGUGUGUCUGUGUGUGUGUGUCUGUGUGUGUGUGUGUUUGUGUUUACUUGUCCCGUUUGGUGGGACUUUUUUUUCUUCAAUCUUCAAACUUUUUUAGUCAGAAUAAAGUCCUGAGAGAUAAAAACAAAAACUGAAAUGUCAUGUUUAUAUUUUGUGUUCGAUCUUAAUCGUGUUUUUUUCAUACUCAGAGCUGCGUUUCUGAACGGACCCUCCUGUCCCUGUGUCAGAUCCAUGUUUUCCUCUCGGCCCCCCGACAGCCUCUGCAGGUCUGUUAGCAGCCUGAUGGCUCCCAUGGGGGACCAGAGGACCCUGAGGGAGCUGAUUAACCCUUUGCAUUCACGACCGUGACGGACGACAACCACAUACAACUGCUCACACCAACACCGGUCAGCGCCAUUACCAUUAUGGGCCGUGUUCAGGAGCCGUUAUAUGCAGAGAGGCGAGAGAGUGGAAGUGAGAGAGUGGAUUAAAGAAG